rnacentral:rRNA from 1 species
CCCUUAGAUGUUCUGGGCCGCACGCGCGCUACACUGAUGCAUUCAACGAGCACCCGCUGGGCCGAGAGGUCCGGCUAAUCUUUGAACGUGCAUCGUGCUGGGGAUAGAUGAUUGCAAUUAUUCAUCUUCAACGAGGAAUUCCUAGUAAACGCAAGUCAUCAGCUUGCAUUGAUUACGUCCCUGCCCUUUGUACACACCGCCCGUCGCACCUACCGAUUGAAUGGUCCGGUGAAAUUCUCGGACGCGGACUUGCAAUGUUAAUUCGGCGCUUGUCUGUGAAAGUUAAUUAAACCUUACCAUUUAGAGGAAGGUGAANUCGUAACA